rnacentral:rRNA from 1 species
AUUAGCCAUGCAUGUCUCAGUACAUGCCGAAUUAAGGUGAAACCGCGAAUGGCUCAUUAAAUCAGUUAUGGUUCAUUAGAUCGUGGACACAUUUACUUGGAUAACUGUGGUAAUUCUAGAGCUAAUACAUGCAAACAGAAUUCCUCUCAGAGAUGGGAGGAAUGCUUUUAUUAGAUCAAAACCAAUCGGUGGCGGACGGCUCGUCCGUUCGUCCAUCGUUUGUUUUGGUGACUCUGAAUAACUUUGUGCUGAUCGCAUGGUCAUCUAGCACCGGCGACGCAUCUUUCAAAUGUCUGCCUUAUCAACUGUCGAUGGUAGGUUCUGCGCCUACCAUGGUUGUAACGGGUAACGGGGAAUCAGGGUUCGAUUCCGGAGAGGGAGCCUGAGAAACAGCUACCACAUCCAAGGAAGGCAGCAGGCGCGCAAAUUACCCACUCCCGGCACGGGGAGGUAGUGACGAAAAAUAACGAUACGGGACUCAUCCGAGGCCCCGUAAUCGGAAUGAGUACACUUUAAAUCCUUUAACGAGGACCAAUUGGAGGGCAAGUCUGGUGCCAGCAGCCGCGGUAAUUCCAGCUCCAAUAGCGUAUAUUAAAGUUGUUGCGGUUAAAAAGCUCGUAGUUGAAUCUGUGUGUCACAGUGUCGGUUCACCGCUCGCGGUGUUUAACUGGCAUUAUGUGGUACGUCCUAUCGGUGGGCUUAGCUCCUUGCGGGCGGUCCAACUAAUAUCCCAUCGCGGUGCUCUUCACUGAGUGUCGAGGUGGGCCGAUACGUUUACUUUGAAAAAAUUAGAGUGCUUAAAGCAGGCUACCUUUGCCUGAAUACUGUGUGCAUGGAAUAAUGGAAUAGGACCUCGGUUCUAUUUUGUUGGUUUUCGGAACCCCGAGGUAAUGAUUAAUAGGGACAGAUGGGGGCAUUCGUAUUGCGACGUUAGAGGUGAAAUUCUUGGAUCGUCGCAAGACGGACAGAAGCGAAAGCAUUUGCCAAAAAUGUUUUCAUUAAUCAAGAACGAAAGUUAGAGGGUU